AAAAAAAACACCAUUAGGACAUUUUAAAUUUGGCCAAUUAAUUUUGUCAAUUUUUUUUUUCCGCCUAAUUAAUAGAGGUGGGAAGUUAAGCCUUACCCCUUCUCCAAGCAUGCAAAAGAACCCAACAAGUAAUUCUCGGAAAAAACCUAAGGUUUGUUGUUUAAGGUGCAACGCAAACAGAGAGCGUCGAAAUUCACAACAGAGAGUGUUGAUUAUAUUACCUGCGAACUCUAUGUGACAUGGCUUGGAGG
rnacentral:lncRNA from 1 species